rnacentral:rRNA from 1 species
GUAAACCCAAGGUUUCCAGGGGAAGGUUCGUCCGCCCGGGGUGAAUCGGGACCGAAGCUGGGGCCGAAAGGCGGAGGGGAGGGAGAACAGGUUGAUAGUCCUGUACUACCGAUAACCGUUUGAGAGAUGGGAUGACACAGUAGGAUAAGCUCGGCCCGCUGUGGGUGGGGUGGGC